GUGAGAUUAAGCUGUUAUUUACAUGAUAAUUUAAAGGAGAGUUUAUACAUUAAGUACGCAUGGAUGCAAAGAAGGAACAAUAGACAACGGGGCUACUUGAGGGUAAAGCGGGAGGAGGAUUAGGAUUAGAAUUGUAAAACUACCUAUUGGGUACCAUGCUUAUUACCUGGGCGACUAAAUAACCUGUACACCAAACUCCCAUGAUGUGUAAUUUACCUGUAUAAAAAACCUGCACAUCUACUCCUGAAACGAAAAUAAAAACUAGUAAAAAGAUAAAGAAGAGUUUAUAAAGAUGUUUUGGUCAAUGUACAAAAAUCAAUUGCAUGUUUACACAAUAGCAGUAAACAAGUAUGAUGUUUAAUUUAAAAGAUUAUACCAUUUACAUGUGUAUCAGAGAUUAUCAACUUUUUAGGGAUAAUUUAGUAAAAGAUCUAUAAGACCUCUAUGUGGAAAAUUUUAAAAUUCUUUAUAUCAUGCAAUUUUUUUUUUUUUUUUUUUUUUUUUUGAGAUGGAGUCUUGCUGUGUUCCCCGUGCUGGAGUACAAUGGCAUGAUAUUGGCUCAUUGCAACCUCCGCCUCCCAGGUUCAUGCAAUUCUCCUGCCUCAGCCUCCCAAGUAGCUGGAAUUACAGAGUCUCACUCUGUCACCCAGGCUGGAGUGCAGCAGCAUGACCAUAGCUCACUGCAACCUGGAACCCUCUGGGCUCAAGUCAAGCAAUUCUCCAACUGCAGACUCCCAAAGUGCUGGAAUUACAAGCAUGAGCCACAAUGACUGGGUAAAUAAAUGUCUUUAUUGUAAAUCAGGUUAGAUGGGUGUCAAGCAAAUGUACUGUUUUAGUAUUUUAUACAUUUCUAAUUUUCUAUCAGAUUUCUGAAACUCAAAAUGCAUAUUGAUUAGUUGAUUUUAGGAUUGGGGUGGGGUUAGAUAUAAUAAUAUCAUGUGACUGAAUUAAUAUUCCAUGUCUGUGUUAUUAAAAAUACAUUUAUUUUAAGUACAUGUGCAGGUUUGUUACACAGGUAAACGUGUGUCAUGGGUUUUUUUGUACAGAUUUUUUAUUGCCCAGGUAUUAAGCCUAGUAUCCAUUAGUUAUUUUGUCUGAUCCUCUCCCUCCUCCUACCCUCCACCCUCAGAUAGAUCCUAGUGUAUGUUAUUCCCUUCUAUGUGUCCAUUUGUUCUCAUUAUUUAGC
rnacentral:lncRNA from 1 species